UACGUAGGGGGCAAGCGUUGUCCGGAUUUAUUGGGCGUAAAGGGCGCGUAGGCGGUUUGACAAGUCUGAUGUGAAAUCUAUGGGCUCAACCCAUAGCCCUGCAUUAGAAACUGUCGGGCUUGAGUAUGGGAGAGGUGAGUGGAAUUUCCGGUGUAGCGGUGAAAUGCGUAGAUAUCGGAAGGAACACCUGUGGCGAAAGCGGCUCACUGGACCAUAACUGACGCUGAGGCGCGAAAGCUAGGGGAGCAAACAGG
rnacentral:rRNA from 1 species